rnacentral:rRNA from 2 species
GGGGCCAGGGCGGCUUACUAUAAUGCAAGUCGAACGAACUCUGGUAUUGAUUGGUGCUUGCAUCAUGAUUUACAUUUGAGUGAGUGGCGAACUGGUGAGUAACACGUGGGAAACCUGCCCAGAAGCGGGGGAUAACACCUGGAAACAGAUGCUAAUACCGCAUAACAACUUGGACCGCAUGGUCCGAGUUUGAAAGAUGGCUUCGGCUAUCACUUUUGGAUGGUCCCGCGGCGUAUUAGCUAGAUGGUGGGGUAACGGCUCACCAUGGCAAUGAUACGUAGCCGACCUGAGAGGGUAAUCGGCCACAUUGGGACUGAGACACGGCCCAAACUCCUACGGGAGGCAGCAGUAGGGAAUCUUCCACAAUGGACGAAAGUCUGAUGGAGCAACGCCGCGUGAGUGAAGAAGGGUUUCGGCUCGUAAAACUCUGUUGUUAAAGAAGAACAUAUCUGAGAGUAACUGUUCAGGUAUUGACGGUAUUUAACCAGAAAGCCACGGCUAACUACGUGCCAGCAGCCGCGGUAAUACGUAGGUGGCAAGCGUUGUCCGGAUUUAUUGGGCGUAAAGCGAGCAAGCGAGCGCAGGCGGUUUUUUAAGUCUGAUGUGAAAGCCUUCGGCUCAACCGAAGAAGUGCAUCGGAAACUGGGAAACUUGAGUGCAGAAGAGGACAGUGGAACUCCAUGUGUAGCGGUGAAAUGCGUAGAUAUAUGGAAGAACACCAGUGGCGAAGGCGGCUGUCUGGUCUGUAACUGACGCUGAGGCUCGAAAGUAUGGGUAGCAAACAGGAUUAGAUACCCUGGUAGUCCAUACCGUAAACGAUGAAUGCUAAGUGUUGGAGGGUUUCCGCCCUUCAGUGCUGCAGCUAACGCAUUAAGCAUUCCGCCUGGGGAGUACGGCCGCAAGGCUGAAACUCAAAGGAAUUGACGGGGGCCCGCACAAGCGGUGGAGCAUGUGGUUUAAUUCGAAGCUACGCGAAGAACCUUACCAGGUCUUGACAUACUAUGCAAAUCUAAGAGAUUAGACGUUCCCUUCGGGGACAUGGAUACAGGUGGUGCAUGGUUGUCGUCAGCUCGUGUCGUGAGAUGUUGGGUUAAGUCCCGCAACGAGCGCAACCCUUAUUAUCAGUUGCCAGCAUUAAGUUGGGCACUCUGGUGAGACUGCCGGUGACAAACCGGAGGAAGGUGGGGAUGACGUCAAAUCAUCAUGCCCCUUAUGACCUGGGCUACACACGUGCUACAAUGGAUGGUACAACGAGUUGCGAACUCGCGAGAGUAAGCUAAUCUCUUAAAGCCAUUCUCAGUUCGGAUUGUAGGCUGCAACUCGCCUACAUGAAGUCGGAAUCGCUAGUAAUCGCGGAUCAGCAUGCCGCGGUGAAUACGUUCCCGGGCCUUGUACACACCGCCCGUCACACCAUGAGAGUUUGUAACACCCAAAGUCGGUGGGGUAACCUUUUAGGAACCAGCCGCCUAAGGUGGGACAGAUGAUUAGGGUGAAGUCGAACAUAGUUGGCCGUGGCCU